CGGGCUGCGGACAGUGUCUGGUGGGUAGUUUGACUGGGGCGGUCUCCUCCCAAAGCGUAACGGAGGAGCACGAAGGUUGGCUAAUCCUGGUCGGACAUCAGGAGGUUAGUGCAAUGGCAUAAGCCAGCUUGACUGCGAGAGUGACGGCUCGAGCAGGUGCGAAAGCAGGUCAUAGUGAUCCGGUGGUUCUGAAUGGAAGGGCCAUCGCUCAACGGAUAAAAGGUACUCCGGGGAUAACAGGCUGAUACCGCCCAAGAGUUCAUAUCGACGGCGGUGUUUGGCACCUCGAUGUCGGCUCAUCACAUCCUGGGGCUGAAGUAGGUCCCAAGGGUACGGCUGUUCGCCGUUUAAAGUGGUACGCGAGCUGGGUUUAGAACGUCGUGAGACAGUUCGGUCCCUAUCUGCCGUGGGCGCUGGAGAAUUGAGGGGGGUUGCUCCUAGUACGAGAGGACCGGAGUGAACGCACCGCUGGUGUCCGGGUUGUCACGCCAGUGGCACUGCCCGGUAGCUAAGUGCGGAAAAGAUAAGUGCUGAAAGCAUCUAAGCACGAAACUUGCCCCGAGAUGAGUUCUCCCUGAGCCUUUAAGGCUCCUGAAGGGACGUUGAAGACGACGACGUUGAUAGGCCGGGUGUGUAAGCGCAGCGAUGCGUUGAGCUUACCGGUACUAAUGACCCGUGAGGCUUAACCUUACAACGCCAGAGGCGUUUUG
rnacentral:rRNA from 1 species